GGGGAGGUAGCGAAGUGGCUAAACGCGGCUGACUGUAACUCAGUUCCUUUUGGUUCGAUGGUUCGAAUCCGUCCCUCCCCA
rfam:Kandleria vitulina DSM 20405 Scaffold5, whole genome shotgun sequence.